rnacentral:rRNA from 1 species
UACAGAGGGCGCGAGCGUUGUCCGGAAUCACUGGGCGUAAAGGGCGCGUAGGUGGCCACCAUAAGGCCGCGGUGAAAGUCUGGGGCUCAACCCCAGAUCGGCCGCGGCGACUGUGGGGCUGGGGUACUGUAGAGGCAGGUGGAAUUCCGGGUGUAGCGGUGGAAUGCGUAGAGAUCCGGAAGAACACCAGUGGCGAAGGCGGCCUGCUGGGCAGUGGACUCGGAAGAGUCCUUA